GAGUAAUAUAUCGGGAACGUGCCCCAGUAGUGGGGGAUAACUGCUCGAAAGAGCAGCUAAUACCGCAUACGACCUGAGGGUGAAAGGGGGGGAUCGCAAGACCUCUCGCUAUUGGAGCGGCCGAUAUCAGAUUAGCUAGUUGGUGGGGUAAAGGCCUACCAAGGCAACGAUCUGUAGUUGGUCUGACAGGACGACCAGCCACACUGGGACUGAGACACGGCCCAGACUCCUACGGGAGGCAGCAGUGGGGAAUUUUGGACAAUGGGCGCAAGCCUGAUCCAGCAAUGCCGCGUGCAGGAAGAAGGCCUUCGGGUUGUAAACUGCUUUUGUCAGGGAAGAAAUCCUACUAGGUUAAUACCCUUGGGGGGUAUGACGGU
rnacentral:rRNA from 1 species